rnacentral:rRNA from 1 species
CCCUUAGAUGUUCGGGGCCGCACGCGCGCUACACUGAAUGGAUCAACGCGCCUUUCCCGAGGCUGAAAAGUCGAGGUAAUCCGUUGAACCCCAUUCGUGACGGGGAUAGGAGCUUGCAAUUAUUCUCCUUGAACGAGGAAUUCCCAGUAAGCGCGAGUCAUCAGCUCGCGUUGAUUACGUCCCUGCCCUUUGUACACACCGCCCGUCGCUACUACCGAUCGGAUUGUCCUGUGAAUUUCUAGGAGAGUUGAGGUCCUGGCGCUUCGGUGUCGGCGACCUCAUGCUUGAAUUGAAUUGAACUGGACUCUCUAGAGGAAGUAAAAGUCGUAACA